rnacentral:lncRNA from 7 species
GAGGAAGUGGGAAAUGAGCAGAUGGGGGAGGAAAAAAAAAGAGCAAGAAGAAUCAGAGAGGAAAAAGCCGCUGGAAUGGGUCACAAUUGGCAACCCCUUCUCUUUUAAAUAACAAUAAAAAUAAAAAUCCAACUCUGACGAAAAUCAGAGAUGUCCUGACUGCGGGGAUGCGGCGGGGAAGGCAGAGCUGUCCCGGCUCGGCCGCUCCGCCCCGCUCCGCUCUCCGCGCAGCGCCCGCUGCUCCCCGCGCUGCUGCCCGUCCCGCUGCGUCCGGCCCCGCAGCUUCUCCAGGACCCAGCAGCCUCCCUUCCUCCCUCCCUCCGAGGAAGCAAAGCCCAAAACCUGGCGGCGGAGGACACGCGGCACCUCUCGCAUCCUUCCUCUCGGCGCAAGACGGGGCGCGUUCCCAUGCGCGGAGUUUGCGCGGAGGCGAAGGGGCCGGCACCUGGCCGCCCCGGGGAACCGCAGCUGCUUUGAAACUCGGUGAUCUGAUGAGAUGAAGGUCACUGAAAUUUCCUUCCUUUUCCCUCUGCUUUGGAAAUGACUUCUGUCUUAAGGCCCUGGAGGGUGAAGCUCUUCUAACUCAAGACAAAGGUUCUUCACAUGAGAGAUUAAUCCGUUUCCCCGUAAUUAAAUAAACAACACUCUCUACGUGGCUAUAUAGAAUAAACUAAAAUGAAGAAAGAACAUGUUGUGGAAAAUAUGGAGAAGUACAACUAGAGAAGUGCAACGUACUUCAGCAGAAUCCAGGCAUUAGCAUCUCCAAGGAGUCUUCUGGGCAGUGACAAUAGUGGGAUGCAGACCCAAGCUGGCCUGGAUUUACACCCUUGGUCCCCUGGAGAAAUCAUUGGGUGGUUGUUUAAAGCUGGUACAGCAUUGAAUACAGCAGAGGAGCCUUGACCUUUAUUUGUAAGCAUGGAAAUAAGAAGUUUAAUUUUAGUAAAUUUGUACCGUGCUCAAAAUAAACCAAGAGGUAGUUCCACAAACGGGUUCAAAUGCAGGAACUGCUGUUGUGAUGGAGCUCUGGAUGUCCCUUUCAGUACCAUCACCUGGCAUUUGAAAGCUUGUCAUGAUUUCUGCCUGUAGCCAGCAGCACUGAAGCACAUCUUACUCUCAACUGAUGGACUAAUCUGACUCUCUGAGCUACCUUGCCUUGCUCUGAAAACUGAGAUUGCAUGGGAAGAGUUUCUACCAUCUCCUGUACUUAACCAUGAUUCUCCCAACUCAUGUCACACCAAAUUUAACCGUCAACUCUAAGUAAAAUGGAUUAAAAGUCUCCGGAGAGUGAUGAUCUUCUAGAGGGAGAGGCUCCAGUGACUUUUGGAUUGCCAAAAAGAUGAAGACUUUUUUUGCCUCUUAUGAAAUUUGAAAAGAUCACCACUUUAUCUUAGGGCCAGGUCGUUUAAUUGCAACAAUUUACCACUGAUAUUAAAACCAAACGUGAUAAUUAUUAAGAAAUAACUAGCAAUUAAUAAAUGUAUUUUUAAAAUAACUAUGACCUUUCACCUUACAGAUCCAGAUUUAAUUAUUGGAAUACUUCCAUCUUUAGAAGAUUAAAAAUAUCAUUUUUCUGGUAGUCAGUAAGAUCCACUGUAUUGCCCAUAAAGAGCCAUGUCUCUGUUACUCAUUAAAUAGAAGUUUUAAAGAGUUUUUAAUUAAGGGAUGAACAAGUAAAUUCAGCCCAUAAGACAAGCAGGACAUGUAUAUGUGGAAUAAAACAAUAAAUAAAGAGAGGAU